GGACUGCUGACUGGAGCCCCGAGCCCUGCUUGUCUUUACAGGCUGCAGGAACAUGACUGUGGAAAGUCAAGUAAUUAAAUCUGUGCACUCUGGAUUCUGGCAGGGAUGAGCUCUAGAAGUUCCAACAUUGACCAAGAUUGAUGUUCUCCUUGUGUCUUUGGUGGAGACGAGGAUGCUCGUGUGAGUCUAUUCUGGGGUAUUCAGAGAGGACUAACAUGGCUACAACAACACAACAAACAAAACUGGGAUAUUCCAGCUUCCGAUAAGCAGACAGAGGCUGUCAGAUACCAAUCCAAAUAGGACCCUGAACUCCAAAAAUAAGCCUGGAUCCCAACUUCAUAUCCCUACAAACUGCAGCAAAAUCCUACUUUAGCUGUUUUUUCUCAACACAACCUUAACCAUGGACUUGCUACCUACGCCUCCAUAAUAACAAGCCAAAAGUAAUUCCCGGGUUUGACACAUUUCUCUGUAUGUGGGUUUGAAAUUUGCAACUAAACUUUCCCAAAACUUGGAGUGUUGACAUUUAGCCAUUAGAGGGAUCUGAGCUGCAGCCUCCGAUCAGAACCCAGGGUUUGGAUUCAGCGUUCUGGCUCACACCCAUCGCUUUGAUCAUCCUUCAUUAUUGGGGAUGGAUAGACAGCAAGCAUUCCAGCUCUCAGAAUCUUUUGGGUGGGUUUCAGGAUCUCUUCUUCCCCGGUCUGGGAUCUAGGAUCGGAAGGGAACAGUGCCCUAUGUUUAACAUCCCUGGAGAUUUCCUGAUUGUUCAAGGAUAGACAGAGGAGUCCUGAACUAUAUUUCAUCAGCAAAGUGGCACUGGGCUCCCUGACGGAGUUGCCUUACCAGAAAGCCUUACUGGCCAUGGAGAGGCAGCCAGUAGUUCUAGAUGUCACGAUCGGACCUAGAAUCACCCAUUUGCUUAAAGCCUUUGAGGACCAGAGCCGCUGUGCCCCAGGAGACCAAUCCUGUGAGACGCUGAGGGCUCUUCUCCCCAUCGGGAUCUGGCCCAGGAACAACAGCCCAGGAGAGAUGGCUGCUGGAGCAAUGACUUCAUAGCCCUUGAGCCCUUUACGCUGUCGCCAGCAUGAGGAGCAAAGCGCCACCUUCGCUUCUGCGUGUGAGCUGUCAUCAACCCACCGGCCCUUCCAGCUGGGGCUGGAGACGCCUAGGCUGUACGGCCCAGCUGAUCGCUGAGCAGAGAGCUGGUUAGUAAAGCCG
rnacentral:lncRNA from 1 species